rnacentral:rRNA from 1 species
GCAUGUCUCAGUAUAAGUCUUUAUAUGUCGAAACUGCGAAUGGCUCAUUCAAACAGUUAUAGUUUAUUUGAUGGUCACCUGUUAUUUGGAUAACUGUGGUAAUUCUAGAGCUAAUACAUGCAUAAAAACGCGACUUCUUGGGAGCGUUGUAUUUAUUAGAUACAGAACCAAUCCGGCUUGCCGGUCUUUGGAUGAUUCAUAAUAAAUGAACGGAGCGUACGACUCGUGUCGACGCUGUGUCAUUCAAGUUUCUGACCUAUCAGUUUUCGACGGUAGGGUAUUGGCCUACCGUGGCGUUGACGGGUAACGGAGAAUUAGGGUUCGAUUCCGGAGAGGGAGCCCGAGAAACGGCUACCACAUCUAAGGAAGGCAGCAGGCGCGCAAAUUACCCAACCCUGACACAGGGAGGUAGUGACAAGAAAUAACAAAGCAGGCUAGAAUUCUAGUUUUGCUAUUGGAAUGAGUAGAAUUUAAAUCUCCUUACGACUAUCAAUUGGAGGGCAAGUCUGGUGCCAGCAGCCGCGGUAAUUCCAGCUCCAAUAGCGUAUAUUAAAGUUGUUGCGGUUAAAAAGCUCGUAGUUGGAUUUCUGUUGAAGACGGCCGGUCCGCUCUAUGAGCGUGUAUCUGGUACGGCUUUGGCAUCCUCGUGGGGAACGUAACUGUGCUUGAUUGCAUGGUACGGAAUUCACGACUUUUACUUUGAGGAAAUUAGAGUGUUCACGGCAGGCAAUCGCCUUGAAUACAUUAGCAUGGAAUAAUAAUAUAGGACUUUGGUUCUAUUUUGUUGGUUUCUAGAACUAAAGUAAUGAUUAAUAGGGAUAAUUGGGGGCAUUUGUAUUAACGC